GACGAACGCUGGCGGCGUGCUUAACACAUGCAAGUCGAACGGAAAGGCCCUGCUUUUGUGGGGUGCUCGAGUGGCGAACGGGUGAGUAACACGUGAGUAACCUGCCCUUGACUUUGGGAUAACUUCAGGAAACUGGGGCUAAUACCGGAUAGGAGCUCCUGCUGCAUGGUGGGGGUUGGAAAGUUUCGGCGGUUGGGGAUGGACUCGCGGCUUAUCAGCUUGUUGGUGGGGUAGUGGCUUACCAAGGCUUUGACGGGUAGCCGGCCUGAGAGGGUGACCGGCCACAUUGGGCCUGCGAUACGGCGCAGACUCCUACGGGAGGCAGCAGUGGGGAAUAUUGCACAAUGGGCGGAAGCCUGAUGCAGCAACGCCGCGUGCGGGAUGACGGCCUUCGGGUUGUAAACCGCUUUCGCCUGUGACGAAGCGUGAGUGACGGUAAUGGGUAAAGAAGCACCGGCUAACUACGUG
rnacentral:rRNA from 1 species